rnacentral:rRNA from 1 species
GAUCUGGUUCAGGAUGAACGCUGGCGGCGUGCUUAACACAUGCAAGUUGUGCGGUGAUCUCAAGAAGUUUCGGACGGAAAGGGAGAGCAGCAGCGGACGGGUGAGUAAAGCACAAGGACUUGUCCCGAAGAGGGGGACAACUGUGGGAAACCACAGCUAAUACCCCAUAAGCCGAGAGGUGAAAGCAGUAAUGCGCUUUAGGAGAGACUUGUGUCCUAUCAGGUAGUUGGUGAGGUAACGGCUCACCAAGCCGAAGACGGGUAGCCGGACUGAGAGGUUGUACGGCCACAUUGGAACUGAGAGACGGUCCAGACUCCUACGGGAGGCAGCAGUGGGGAAUAUUGGGCAAUGGGGGGCCAACCCUGACCCAGCGACGCCGCGUGAGGGAAGACAGCCUUCGGGUUGUAAACCUCUGUUGCAGGGGAAGAAGAAAGUGACGGUACCCUGCGAGGAAGCUCCGGCAAACUACGUGCCAGCCGCCGC